rnacentral:tRNA from 1 species
GUACUCAUAGUCUAAAACAAAAGACACUGAUCUGUGGAAUCAGAAACAGGAACUACCCCCUCCUUGCGUACU